rnacentral:rRNA from 1 species
UGCAAGUCGCACGCGAAAGGGGGCAACCCUGAGUAGAGUGGCGGACGGGUGAGAAACGCGUAGGAAUAUACCUGGUAGUGGGGGACAACCCGGUGAAAACCGGGCUAAUACCGCAUACGAUCCACGGAUGAAAGCAGGGGACCGCAAGGCCUUGCGCUAUCAGAUUAGCCUGCGUCGGAUUAGCUAGUUGGUGAGGUAACGGCUCACCAAGGCGACGAUCCGUAGCUGGUUUGAGAGAACGACCAGCCACACCGGAACUGAGACACGGUCCGGACUCCUACGGGAGGCAGCAGUGGGGAAUAUUGGACAAUGGGGGCAACCCUGAUCCAGCAAUGCCGCGUGUGUGAAGAAGGCCUUCGGGUUGUAAAGCACUUUCGGUGGGGAAAAACAAGGCGGAGCUAACAUCUCCGUCCCUGAUGGUACCCAAAGAAGAAGCACCGGCUAACUCUGUGCCAGCAGCCGCGGUAAUACAGAGGGUGCAAGCGUUAAUCGGAAUUACUGGGCGUAAAGGGUGCGUAGGUGGUUUGUUAAGUCAGGCGUGAAAUCCUCGGGCUCAACCUGGGAACUGCGUUUGAUACUGGCAGACUCGAGUGUGGUAGAGGAUAGUGGAAUUCCCGGUGUAGCGGUGAAAUGCGUAGAUAUCGGGAGGAAUAUCAGUGGCGAAGGCGGCUAUCUGGACUAACACUGACACUGAGGCACGAAAGCGUGGGUAGCAAACAGGAUUAGAUACCCUGGUAGUCCACGCCCUA